rnacentral:rRNA from 1 species
AUUGAACGCUGGCGGCAGGCCUAACACAUGCAAGUCGAGCGGAUGAAGGGAGCUUGCUCCUGGAUUCAGCGGCGGACGGGUGAGUAAUGCCUAGGAAUCUGCCUGGUCGCGGGGGAUAACGUCCGGAAACGGGCGCUAAUACCGCAUACGUCCUGAGGGAGAAAGUGGGGGAUCUUCGGACCUCACGCUAUCAGAUGAGCCUAGGUCGGAUUAGCUAGUUGGUGGGGUAAAGGCCUACCAAGGCGACGAUCCGUAACUGGUCUGAGAGGCUGAUCAGUCACACUGGAACUGAGACACGGUCCAGACUCCUACGGGAGGCAGCAGUGGGGAAUAUUGGACGAUGGGCGAAAGCCUGAUCCAGCCAUGCCGCGUGUGUGAAGAAGGUCUUCGGAUUGUAAAACACUUUAAGUUGGGAGGAAGGGCAGUAAGUUAAUACCUUGCUGUUUUGACGUUACCAACAGAAUAAGCACCGGCUAACUUCGUG